CUAUUUGUUAUCUUAUUAAAAACUAAAGAACCUUAGUGAGCGUGUUCACAUAACCCAUGCUGCUACGCCCCCACAUCAUCACUGGACAAAUAAAAUAACUGAGAUAAAAAAAAUUGAAUCAUAAUUUCCUACUAUUAUUACUCGAUUUAUUUCACUUGACUGGGCAGAGUUUAACCGGUUCGCUCAUAAUAAACCAGUCCAUCUAUAGAUAGGUGUUUUAGGAUAAACUCAUCAAUGAAGUGUCCAGUCAUUGUUUUGUAAAUUCCUUUGGUGACACUGAUAGGUGAUUAGAAAUCAGUUAUAAUUAUAACGGCAAUCAUCCUUAUCACACACAUCUUCAAAUAGACUGUCCUUAUGCAAAUUAAAACGUAAGCUCCGCCCGAUCAGUUGAAUUAACAUUGGUAAUAC
rnacentral:lncRNA from 1 species